rnacentral:rRNA from 1 species
UGGGGAAUAUUGGACAAUGGGCGCAAGCCUGAUCCAGCCAUGCCGCGUGAGUGAUGAAGGCCCUAGGGUUGUAAAGCUCUUUCAACGGUGAAGAUAAUGACGGUAACCGUAGAAGAAGCCCCGGCUAACUUCGUGCCAGCAGCCGCGGUAAUACGAAGGGGGCUAGCGUUGUUCGGAAUUACUGGGCGUAAAGCGCACGUAGGCGGAUAUUUAAGUCAGGGGUGAAAUCCCGGGGCUCAACCUCGGAACUGCCUUUGAUACUGGGUAUCUUGAGUAUGGAAGAGGUAAGUGGAAUUGCGAGUGUAGAGGUGAAAUUCGUAGAUAUUCGCAGGAACACCAGUGGCGAAGGCGGCUUACUGGUCCAUUACUGACGCUGAGGUGCGAAAGCGUGGGGAGCAAACA